GCCCGGAUGGUGAAAUUGGUAGACACAAGAGACUUAAAAUCUCUCGGCCUUAUUGGCCGUGCCGGUUCGAUUCCGGCUCCGGGCACCA
rnacentral:tRNA from 1 species